rnacentral:rRNA from 1 species
UCUGAACUGAAAAUGUAAACCACUAAGUUAGUAAUAGUUAGUUACUUAAAAAUUAAAAAAUUUGGCGGUGGUUUAAUCUUACCAGAGGAACUUGUUUCUUAAACGAUAUACCACGCAGAAUCUUACUUGUUUUUGUAAUAUAAUCAGUUUGUAUACCAUCAUUAACAGGUAAUUUUAAGAGAAGUAAUUACUAGGUAAUAAUUGAUUAUUGAAAUUAGAUCAUGGUGCAGCAUAUAAACAAGUCGAAAUGAGUUACAAUAAGGUUUCUUAUAUGAAUCAGCAAAGUAAGAGUUGUUGUGAAGGAGGAUUUGGUUGUAUUUUAAGUUUAAUAAGCUUAUAAGAUAUAGGUUCUAAACCAUGUACAUAUCGCCCGUCACUUUCGUUUAUAACGAAAUAAGUCGUAACAUA